ACGGCGAGUGAACAGGGAAGAGCCCAGCACCGAAGCCUGUGGCCAUUUGGUCUCUAGGCAAUGUGGUGUUUAGGUCAGCUCGCGGAGACACUGUCCCACUCUAAGUCCAGCAAUGAGACUGGUAUCUGGACAUGGCCCAAAGAGGGUGAAAGGCCCGUGAGGGUGGGAACUCAGACAUGCCAGUGUCUCCCUGAGUAGACCUUGGAGUCGGGUUGUUUGUGAAUGCAGCCCAAAGUGGGUGGUAAACUCCAUCCAAGGCUAAAUACUAACACGAGUCCGAUAGCGAACAAGUACCGUGAGGGAAAGUUGAAAAGUACUUUGAAGAGAGAGUAAACAGUGCGUGAAACCGCUCAGAGGUAAACGGGUGGAGUUGAACUGCAAAGCUCCGAGAAUUUAACUGGUGAGUGUGGUAUACACUUGGAUAUAUUGGUUGGCCCUCAAAGUCUGCAGAAAACUGUGGAGGCUGUGCUAACGCGCGGCGUGCGUUGAAGCGCUUAUCAAGCGCUGUGCUCUUUGGGGGUACUUCGAACCUGCUUGCCAGUGCAUUUUCUCAGAGUGAUCACCACGACCGGCGCUGCUGUCUGUCUGCUGUGGUUAAACCGGGUGUGUAUCGUCCUUGUGGCUUUGCAUACUCGGGAUGGCAGGUAACCCGAUUGUGCUUGUCACGAUUGGGUGUAAUCAGCUGACCAUAGUAGUACUGUGCAGUGCGUCGGAGACGGCGGCUUGUGGUGCGUACAUGCGUGCAUGUUGAGUGGCGGCYUUKGGUCUGGUUAUACUGUAGCCUGUAAAAACAGGCCAUGUAAUGGCCCAGGGUUGUUCACUUGAUGGUUGCGUAUGGGGCACUUUAAUGGGCCUACAGUCUGUG
rnacentral:rRNA from 1 species